UACGUAGGGAGCAAGCGUUGUCCGGAAUCAUUGGGCGUAAAGCGCACGUAGGCGGCCUGAUAAGUCGGGUGUGAAAGCCCUGGGCUCAACCCAGGAAGUGCACUCGAAACUGUCAGGCUUGAAUAUGGAAGAGGGUCGCGGAAUUCCCAGUGUAGAGGUGAAAUUCGUAGAUAUUGGGAAGAACACCGGUGGCGAAGGCGGCGACCUGGUCCUUGACUGACGCUGAGGCGCGAAAGCGUGGGGAGCAAACAGG
rnacentral:rRNA from 1 species